rnacentral:rRNA from 1 species
AACCUCCGCAAUGUGAGAAAUCGCGACGGGGGGAUCCCAAGUGCCAUUCUUAACGGGAUGGCUUUUCAUUGGUGUAAAGAGCUUUUGGAAUAAGAGCUGGGCAAGACCGGUGCCAGCCGCCGCGGUAACACCGGCAGCUCUAGUGGUAGCAAUUUUUAUUGGGCCUAAAGCGUCCGUAGCCGGUUUAAUAAGUCUCUGGUGAAAUCCUGUAGCUUAACUGUGGGAAUUGCUGGAGAUACUAUUAGACUUGAGACCGGGAGAGGUUAGAGGUACUCCCAGGGUAGAGGUGAAAUUCUGUAAUCCUGGGAGGACCGCCUGUUGCGAAGGCGUCUAACUGGAACGGUUCUGACGGUGAGGGACGAAAGUUAGGGGCGCGAACCGGAUUAGAUACCCGGGUAGUCCUAACUGUAAACGAUGCGGACUUGGUGUUGGGGUGGCUUUGAGCUGCUCCAGUGCGAAGGAGCUGUUAAGUCCGCCGCCUGGGAAGUACGGUCGCAAGACUGAAACUUAAAGGAAUU